rnacentral:lncRNA from 10 species
UCCCCCCGAGUUGGUAGAAUUAGAAACUGCUGGAGUUUGAACUCUGCACUGUGUUGUCCUGUGAAGGUCCUGAUGUGCCUGCAAUUGUCUUCUUUGUUAGGUUGUUCAAGAGGAUGCUUUGAGAAGAAACAGAAUAAGAGGUGGAUCGAGUGCUUAUAGUUUUUCUUCAGGAAGACUCACUGGCUCCAAACAGUCACACACACACACAACCCACAUUGCAGUGCCUCACUUUUAUUUGCUUGUCAGAUGCUUAUGACACGCUCAAUACAUAUUUGCUGAAAUUAACCUAAUGUUUUUAAAGAAUGUUCCAAAUAACUUUUUUUGGGGACAGAGUCUCACUCUGUCACCCAGGCUGGCAUGUAGUGGCAAAAUAUCGGCUUGCUACAGCCUCUGCCUCCUGGUUCCAUGUAAUUAUCCUGCCUCAGCCUCCUGAGUAGGUGGAACUACAGAUGCACACCACCACACCCUGAUAAUUUUUGUAUUUUUUAGUAGAGAUGGGGUUUCAUCAUAUUGGCCAGGCUCAUGAUCCACCCACCUCGA